rnacentral:rRNA from 1 species
CGUGUAGGCGGCCAUGUAGGUCCGGUGUGAAAACUCGAGGCUUAACCUCGAGAUGUCAUCGGAAACCAUUUGGCUAGAGUCCGGAAGAGGAGAGUGGAAUUCCUGGUGUAGCGGUGAAAUGCGCAGAUAUCAGGAAGAACACCAAUGGCGAAAGCAGCUCUCUGGGACGGUACUGACGCUGAGACGCGAAAGCGUGGGGAGCGAACA